UACGGAGGGGGUUAGCGUUGUUCGGAAUUACUGGGCGUAAAGCGCGCGUAGGCGGACUGGAAAGUUGGGGGUGAAAUCCCGGGGCUCAACCCCGGAACGGCCUCCAAAACUAUCAGUCUAGAGUUCGAGAGAGGUGAGUGGAAUUCCGAGUGUAGAGGUGAAAUUCGUAGAUAUUCGGAGGAACACCAGUGGCGAAGGCGGCUCACUGGCUCGAUACUGACGCUGAGGUGCGAAAGCGUGGGGAGCAAACAGG
rnacentral:rRNA from 1 species